rnacentral:rRNA from 1 species
CGUGUAGGCGGCCUCUUAAGUCUGAUGUGAAAGCCCGGGGCUUACCCCCGGAAGGGCAUUGGAAACUGGGAGGCUAGAGUACCGGAGAGGAAGGUGGAAUUCCUGGUGUAGCGGUGAAAUGCGUAGAUAUCAGGAGGAACACCGGUGGCGAAGGCGGCCUUCUGGACGGAUACUGACGCUGAGACGCGAACGCGUGGGGAGCAAACAGGAUUAGAUACCCUGGUAGUCCACGCCGUAAACGAUGGGCACUAGGUGUUCGGGGUAUUGACCCCCUGAGUGCCGCAGCUAACGCAUUAAGUGCCCCGCCUGGGGACUACGGCCGCAAGGUUAA